rnacentral:lncRNA from 1 species
AUUUGCGCAUAUCGCUCCCGAUCUCUCUGUCUUUUUCGUAUAUUGGGAUCCAAGUGUGAAGAUGGCGAUCCAGAUGGUGUGGUAGCAUCAAGCAUGGAAGAUGGAGCUGUUGAUAAACACAUAUAUAGGCAAUAUAGAAAGUGUUAUUCAAGGUAAUUGUAAGAACAGCUUGAAGAAUAUAAUUGAUUCUUUGCGGUUACUAUCUUUUGUUUCCUUAUGCCAGAUUUACUCAAAUAUAGCUGUUAUGGCAGGUAAUCGGAAUUUCUCCUUUGCUUUACCUUUCUAUACAGGAGUACAGGUAGACAAUUGCAUAAGCACUUGGCAAGCGAAAGGAUCAACUACGAUAUUAUACCAAGUCAUGAACAGUGCAUCGGUAAGUUAUUGUGUUGCCAUGUUAUUUGAUAUCAAGGCCAGCAACGAUUAAUUUUUUAUCCUACAAGAUUUGUGGCCUUCUUUAUCACUCAAUGUAUGUAUGAAAUUUAAACGAUAUACAUGUGUACCUGAAAUCUAAACUUUCUUCUACUGCAGAGGCUACCUGAUGACAUUCUUACGAUAUACAUGUGUGUGCCUGAAAUUUAAACUUUCUUCUACUUCAGAGGCUACAUGAUGACAUUCUUGCUGGUUGCUGCUGCUAGCUGCUGUGCUACCUGGUGUAUUCUUUUCUUGCAAUUUUGCUCCUAGCUUCUAUGCCAAGCUAAUAUGUGGUGUGGUGUGGUGUGGUGUAUAUAUGUAACUAGCUAGCCUAUAAUCCUACUCGGUACGCUUACGCUCGGAGAGAAAAUCGGAGAUGUUGCGAUGGCACAACCGUGAUGUAAGCGGUGGACGGACGGACGGACGGACGAACGGAAAUGGCUGUUGAAGCAUAUUUCAGUUGCAUAUUUGUUUUUCCUACUACAGUUGACUAAUGCAGAUGAUGUGAACUACAGUAAUCUGUAUGUGACCAGCAUGUUCAUAUUACAGAUCAUGUUGACAUAGAGGAAGCAUAUUAUGUGCUAACAAUUUCUGAAGAAAAAUAUCUAUCUAUCUAUCUAUCUAUCUAUCUAUCUAUCUAUCUAUCUAUCUAUUAUAUACUAAAAGUCCAUUAAACUUCCUACAAACGCCCUCAUGCCGCCACAUGGUGCUCUAAAAAUGCUCUCAAGCUGCCACAUGGCGUAAUAAUAAAAUAGAAAAAACUUAGAAAUUCUGAGAAAAAAGAAAAAAAAUCUAGCCCUCGAUUUUCAUUUAAGUUGAUGGACCCAUUAGUUUACACCAUUGGAUUAGAUGUAAUCUACCCC